rnacentral:rRNA from 1 species
UGGAGCUGAAAUCAGUCGAAGAUACCAGCUGGCUGCAACUGUUUAUUAAAAACACAGCACUGUGCAAACACGAAAGUGGACGUAUACGGUGUGACGCCUGCCCGGUGCCGGAAGGUUAAUUGAUGGGGUUAUCCUCGCGGAGAAGCUCUUGAUCGAAGCCCCGGUAAACGGCGGCCGUAACUAUAACGGUCCUAAGGUAGCGAAAUUCCUUGUCGGGUAAGUUCCGACCUGCACGAAUGGCGUAAUGAUGGCCAGGCUGUCUCCACCCGAGACUCAGUGAAAUUGAACUCGCUGUGAAGAUGCAGUGUACCCGCGGCAAGACGGAAAGACCCCGUGAACCUUUACUAUAGCUUGACACUGAACACUGGUCCUUGAUGUGUAGGAUAGGUGGGAGGCUUUGAAGUGUGGACGCCAGUCUGCAUGGAGCCAUCCUUGAAAUACCACCCUUUAAUGGCUGGUGUUCUAACGUGGGCCCGUGAUCCGGGUUGCGGACAGUGUCUGGUGGGUAGUUUGACUGGGGCGGUCUCCUCCUAAAGAGUAACGGAGGAGCACGAAGGUCAGCUAAUCCUGGUCGGACAUCAGGAGGUUAGUGCAAUGGCAUAAGCUGGCUUGACUGCGAGCGUGACGGCGCGAGCAGGUGCGAAAGCAGGUCAUAGUGAUCCGGUGGUUCUGAAUGGAAGGGCCAUCGCUCAACGGAUAAAAGGUACUCCGGGGAUAACAGGCUGAUACCGCCCAAGAGUUCAUAUCGACGGCGGUGUUUGGCACCUCGAUGUCGGCUCAUCACAUCCUGGGGCUGAAGUAGGUCCCAAGGGUAUGGCUGUUCGCCAUUUAAAGUGGUACGCGAGCUGGGUUUAGAACGUCGUGAGACAGUUCGGUCCCUAUCUGCCGUGGGCGCUGGAGAAUUGAGGGGGGCUGCUCCUAGUACGAGAGGACCGGAGUGGACGCAUCACUGGUGUUCGGGUUGUCAUGCCAAUGGCAUUGCCCGGUAGCUAAAUGCGGAAGAGAUAAGUGCUGAAAGCAUCUAAGCACGAAACUUGCCCCGAGAUGAGUUCUCCCUGACUCCUUGAGAGUCCUGAAGGAACGUUGAAGACGACGACGUUGAUAGGCCGGGUGUGUAAGCGCAGCGAUGCGUUGAGCUAACCGGUACUAAUGAACCGUGAGGCUUAACCUU